AUCCAGACAGCUAGCUAGACUAUCUGUCCAAUCUGAGUUUUCUGUUGCACGACUAAAACAACUAAAACUUUGAAUGUACACAUUUUCCACCAAAACAAGUUCCUUACCGAGGCUAUUUUGCAGAGGCACCCAUGCUCCGU